UUGAUAUGUGGGCGUGUGUGUAACAGUAACCAGACAAGUUUUUAUGAGAAGAGGGAUACAUGUAAAUGUGUUUUCACUGGGUUAAAUUAGUCCAAGUGAUUAUUUCUAUUAUGUAUGUGAAUUAUUUGUUAUAUUCCACCACCUCGGGGUGGAGCCUCCAUUCCCCGGGCCUCGGCCCUUGCCUCGAAAGGGUGUCCGCUCUCCAGUUCAACCAGCCCGGGAUGUAAACUGCUCUCAAUUAGAGAAGUUUUCCCUGGGACCAUAGAAGGAAGUGUUCCAGUGCCAAGAACACGGCCAUCAUCUCCAGGCAGUUUUUGUGCCAAGAAAGAUGUAAACAGAAGAGGCUGAAUAGGACUCAUCCAUCUCCAUGCCUUCUGCUAGCUUCCUGGUUUAUGCGACUUUGCCUGCCGAUGAUGUCAUGACUGUCUAUUGGCCGGAUUUAACAUGAUUCAGAGCGUGAACAACACGGGCGUUCCCAAAGCGUUUUCAACGCAGCUCGAGUUCCUGAAACACUAUUUUCUUCACUACUGUGCCACCAUGGUUAAGUUAAUGUUCAAUGAAUUAAUUUUGAGGGCUAGUGCCUCUGGUUAAAUUCCAAUCAAUAAUGCAUGUGAAUAAAAUAUAUUGGUUAUUAAUAUUUACAUUUUUUCUACAUGUAAUAUAUAAUGUUUCAUACAAUUCCCAUUUCACAUUAUAUUGAUAUUAGCUAAACAGCCCCAGGUUAGUAUUGGGUUAUUGCAACGUAUUGUGGCAUGAAUUCAGCUGUGUGACAUAAGGAAAAAAAGACUAAAUCGAGUUCAUGCUUUAGUCUUUCCGAAACAUUAUAAAAAAGUGUGUUUUCAGAUUACUAAUUGAUGAUGACUACAACUUUUUUGAAAAGCUGAGUGAAUACUCCAGCGUAUUUUGUGCCUGUGUUCUUGUAGCUCAUGCACUGCAGUGUUAUGCCUGCAACAUCCAGGGCCAAAGAUAUGUGGAUGUAGGAUGCUCUAGUCCUGGGGUCAUAACCUGCUCCCGUUUCUACAAAGGCUUCAAACAGCGCUUCUGCAUCCGAACAGAAAGCAUUGCUUUAGGUAUGGUGCUCACAAGUGGGUGUGCUACAUCUCGUCACUGCCACACAGAGGAACUUCCAGGAGUAAAAAUACACUGCUGUGACUCAGAUCUGUGUAACUGCGCUUCCCGGUAUCAUAAGUCGUCUUUGUCUUCAUACACGCUUUCCCUUAUGAUGCCUUCGCUCACCAUAUUGUGGCUACAACACUGACAAGCAGGGAUGUCAAAAAAGAAAAAGGACAGAGGGCAUUAAAAAGUGUGCAAGAUUCAGAGAUUUGACAAGAAUUUUAAUCAAUUAAGGUCCCAAAAUUACUGUUAAACAAAACAAACUGGUAAACAGAAACACUCAGAACUUCAACAUUAUGGAAGACCUGCCAAAUACACUAAAUGGACAGUUUGUGGACACCUGACCAUAAGAUUCAUAUGUUUUUUUGAACAACCCAUUUCCCAUUUAGUCCCCAUUUGCUGUUAUAAAAACCUCCACUCUUCUAGGAAGAUGUUCUACUAGAUCAUUUUGAGUGUUUACAUGAGAGUUAAUAAAGUCAGGUACUGAUUGAAGUAAGGAGGCCUGGGGUUCAGUCAGUGUUCCAACUCAUCCUAAAGGUGUUGAACAGGGUUGAGGUCAGAGCUCUAUGGCAGCCACUGAAGAUCUUCCACUCCAGCCCAUGGAAACCAUAUAUAUACAUGAAGCGUUUUGCACAGGAACAGUGUCAUGGUGGAACAGGUUUGGGUCUCCUAUAGUUUAAGUGAAGGGAAAAUUUCAUGUUGCAAUCAAAGACAUCCUAUUUAAUUGUGUGGUAACAGUUUGGAGAAGAGUCGGAGCUAGAAAAGUCAGAUGUCCAGGACUUUGUUUCAUAUAGUGUAUACAAAUCUCCUAUUAUAUGUUGUACUUUUUUUUUGCACUUGUUUCUUGAGUGUAUCUUUUUAUUGUAAUACAAUUUUGAUAGUGUAUUUUUGUUAUUGUAGUCAAAUGCCACAGAUAUAUAUAUACAUUGUUCUGACAUGCAUGCUGUUUAAUCACAAUCCAAUUACACUGUCUUAGAGGUGUUCAAUACAAUGUCAUCUUACACUAAACUGAACCUGGCAACCUAGCAGUAUGAAAAAUCACAGCUUUUUGCUGCAUUUCAUAAUCAGUGCUUGUAUAUCAUCUUAGAUGCGCUAUAUUUAUAGCAGAAUAACUUAUGCAUCAUUAAUAUAAACAUUACUUUUUGAUAGUAGGAUUUAGGAAUCUUGAUACUUUGAUCAGUCAUA